AUUGAACGCUGGCGGCAGGCCUAACACAUGCAAGUCGAGCGGAUGAAGGGAGCUUGCUCCUGGAUUCAGCGGCGGACGGGUGAGUAAUGCCUAGGAAUCUGCCUGGUAGUGGGGGAUAACGUCCGGAAACGGGCGCUAAUACCGCAUACGUCCUGAGGGAGAAAGUGGGGGAUCUUCGGACCUCACGCUAUCAGAGGAGCCUAGGUCGGAUUAGCUAGUUGGUGGGGUAAAGGCCUACCAAGGCGACGAUCCGUAACUGGUCUGAGAGGAUGAUCAGUCACACUGGAACUGAGACACGGUCCAGACUCCUACGGGAGGCAGCAGUGGGGAAUCUUGGCCCCUGGGCGCCCGCCUGCUCCCGCCCUGCCGCGUGUGUGAAGAAGGUCUUCGGAUUGUAAAGCACUUUAAGUUGGGAGGAAGGGCAGUAAGUUAAUACCUUGCUGUUUUGACGUUCCCCCCCGCAUCAGCCCCGGCUCCCUUCGUG
rnacentral:rRNA from 1 species